rnacentral:rRNA from 1 species
GAUGAACGCUGGCGGCGUGCCUAAUACAUGCCAGUCGAGCGAACAGACGAGGAGCUUGCUCCUCUGACGUUAGCGGCGGACGGGUGAGUAACACGUGGAUAACCUACCUAUAAGACUGGGAUAACUUCGGGAAACCGGAGCUAAUACCGGAUAAUAUAUUGAACCGCAUGGUUCAAUAGUGAAAGACGGUUUUGCUGUCACUUAUAGAUGGAUCCGCGCCGCAUUAGCUAGUUGGUAAGGUAACGGCUUACCAAGGCAACGAUGCGUAGCCGACCUGAGAGGGUGAUCGGCCACACUGGAACUGAGACACGGUCCAGACUCCUACGGGAGGCAGCAGUAGGGAAUCUUCCGCAAUGGGCGAAAGCCUGACGAAGCAACGCCGCGUGAGUGAUGAAGGUCUUCGGAUCGUAAAACUCUGUUAUUAGGGAAGAACAAAUGUGUAAGUAACUAUGCACGUCUUGACGGUACCUAAUCAGAAAGCCACGGCUAACUACGUG